rnacentral:rRNA from 1 species
UUUCGCAAUGCCCGAAAGGGUGACGAAGCGACGCCGCGUGGGUGAGGAAGGCCUUCGGGUUGUAAAGCCCUGUCAGGAGUUAAGAAAUGUAGAUACGCUAAUAUCGUAUCUAUUUGACAAAGGCUCCAAAGGAAGCCACGGCUAACUCUGUGCCAGCAGCCGCGGUAAUACAGAGGUGGCAAGCGUUGUUCGGAAUUAUUGGGCGUAAAGAGCACGUAGGUGGAUUUGUAAGUCAGACGUGAAAGCCUUCUGUUCAUCGGAAGAAUUGCAUCUGAAACUGCAAACCUUGAGUAUAGGAGGGGAGAAUGGAACUUCUGGUGGAGCGGUGAAAUGCGUAGAUAUCUGAAGGAACGCCGGCGGCGAAAGCGAUUCUCUGGCCUAUUACUGACACUCAGUGUGCGAAAGCUAGGGGAGCAAACGGGAUUAGAUACUCCGGUAGUCCUAGCCGUAAACGAUGGGCACUAAGUAGAGGGGUUUU